GGAAAUCACUUUGGACUGCUCAGAGAACUGGGGACCCCGCUGUCCAGUGUUCCAGAUGCCUGACAGAGAUGGCUUUCAGAUUUCUGCCUGCUUCCCCUCCCCACAGUCCUCCAGCAGAAGUAAGCAGAGUUAGUUUCCCACAUAAUGGACAUGGAGAGGUCACUGCAGGAGCAGUUACAGGGAAAAGUUCAAAGCCCACUGCCAUCGCAUCAAUUUCAACUCAAAGCGACCCUCUACAAGAUUGCUG